UGAGGAAUAUUGGUCAAUGGACGAGAGUCUGAACCAGCCAAGUAGCGUGAAGGAUGACUGCCCUAUGGGUUGUAAACUUCUUUUAUACGGGAAUAAAGUUAGCCACGUGUGGCUUUUUGUAUGUACCGUAUGAAUAAGGAUCGGCUAACUCCGUGCCAGCAGCCGCGGUAAUACGGAGGAUCCGAGCGUUAUCCGGAUUUAUUGGGUUUAAAGGGAGCGUAGGCGGGCUGUUAAGUCAGUUGUGAAAGUUUGCGGCUCAACCGUAAAAUUGCAGUUGAUACUGGCGACCUUGAGUGCAACAGAGGUAGGCGGAAUUCGUGGUGUAGCGGUGAAAUGCUUAGAUAUCACGAAGAACUCCGAUUGCGAAGGCAGCUUACUGGAUUGUAACUGACGCUGAUGCUCGAAAGUGUGGGUAUCAAACAGGAUUAGAUACCCUGGUAGUCCACACAGUAAACGAUGAAUACUCGCUGUUGGCGAUAUACGGUCAGCGGCCAAGCGAAAGCAUUAAGUAUUCCACCUGGGGAGUACGCCGGCAACGGUGAAACUCAAAGGAAUUGACGGGGGCCCGCACAAGCGGAGGAACAUGUGGUUUAAUUCGAUGAUACGCGAGGAACCUUACCCGGGCUUAAAUUGCAACUGACUGAACCGGAAACGGUUCUUUCUUCGGACAGUUGUGAAGGUGCUGCAUGGUUGUCGUCAGCUCGUGCCGUGAGGUGUCGGCUUAAGUGCCAUAACGAGCGCAACCCUUAUCGAUAGUUACUAGCAGGUCAUGCUGAGGACUCUAUUGAGACUGCCGUCGUAAGAUGUGAGGAAGGUGGGGAUGACGUCAAAUCAGCACGGCCCUUACGUCCGGGGCUACACACGUGUUACAAUGGGGGGUACAGAAGGCAGCUACACGGCGACGUGGUGCUAAUCCCGAAAGCCUCUCUCAGUUCGGAUUGGAGUCUGCAACCCGACUCCAUGAAGCUGGAUUCGCUAGUAAUCGCGCAUCAGCCACGGCGCGGUGAAUACGUUCCC
rnacentral:rRNA from 1 species